rnacentral:lncRNA from 10 species
GGGUUUUUCAGUCUGGGACUUGGUGAUGAUCCAGAGUUCCUGCUUUCAGGAAGAGGCAAUUUGAUCAGAAUAGAACUAGCAGAACAGAACUCAGGAUUAUACAAAGAUUCUGCAGUGUAGAGGGGUAGAGGUUCUUAGCUACGGAGAUGUCCCUGCCAAGACCUAAAAGCUGGGAGAGAAGGGACACCCAGAAUACUGAGAACUAAGCAGGCCUGGAACAAUGCCAAGGCAGGAUACAGGUUAUCCAUAGUGUGUAAAAUCUACAUGUUUUGGAGCAUAUUUUUAUUCUUAAAAAAUAGUGCUACAGAUUAUGGUGGAUAAUGCAGGUGCCCCACCACAUCCCCUAGCUGCCGUGAAUGUUGACUGCUGGAUAGUAUUCCAUCUACCUUGCUUCUUG